rnacentral:rRNA from 1 species
GCCAGACUCCUACGGGAGGCAGCAGUGGGGAAUAUUGCACAAUGGGGGAAACCCUGAUGCAGCAACGCCGCGUGAGUGAUGACGGCCUUCGGGUUGUAAAGCUCUGUCUUCAGGGACGAUAAUGACGGUACCUGAGGAGGAAGCCACGGCUAACUACGUGCCAGCAGCCGCGGUAAUACGUAGGGAGCGAGCGUUGUCCGGAAUUACUGGGUGUAAAGGGAGCGUAGGCGGGGAUGCAAGUUGGGUGUCAAAACUACCGGCUCAACUGGUAGUCGCACUCAAAACUGCAGCUCUUGAGUGAAGUAGAGGCAGGCGGAAUUCCUAGUGUAGCGGUGAAAUGCGUAGAUAUUAGGAGGAACACCAGUGGCGAAGGCGGCCUGCUGGACGACAACUGACGGUGAGGCGCGAAAGCGUGGGGAGCAAACAGGAUUAGAUACCCUGGUACU